rnacentral:rRNA from 1 species
GACGAACGCUGGCGGCGUGCUUAACACAUGCAAGUCGAACGGAAAGGCCCUGCUUUUGUGGGGUGCUCGAGUGGCGAACGGGUGAGUAACACGUGAGUAACCUGCCCUUGACUUUGGGAUAACUUCAGGAAACUGGGGCUAAUACCGGCUAGGAGCUCCUGCUGCAUGGUGGGGGUUGGAAAGUUUCGGCGGUUGGGGAUGGACUCGCGGCUUAUCAGCUUGUUGGUGGGGUAGUGGCUUACCAAGGCUUUGACGGGUAGCCGGCCUGGGAGGGUGACCGGCCACGUUGGGACUGAGAUACGGCCCAGACUCCUACGGGAGGCAGCAGUGGGGAAUAUUGCACAAUGGGCGGAAGCCUGAUGCAGCAACGCCGCGUGCGGGAUGACGGCCUUCGGGUAGUAAACCGCUUUCGCCUGUGACGAAGCGUGAGUGACGGUAAUGGGUAAAGAAGCACCGGCUAACUACGUG